UACGAAGGGUGCAAGCGUUACUCGGAAUUACUGGGCGUAAAGCGUGCGUAGGCGGUUCGUUAAGUCAGAUGUGAAAGCCCCGGGCUCAACCUGGGAAUUGCAUUUGAUACUGGCGGGCUAGAGUACGGUAGAGGGUGGUGGAAUUCCCGGUGUAGCAGUGAAAUGCGUAGAGAUCGGGAGGAACAUCUGUGGCGAAGGCGGCCACCUGGACCAGUACUGACGCUGAGGCACGAAAGCGUGGGGAGCAAACAGGAUUAGAUACCCUGGUAGUCCACGCCCUAAACGAUGCGAACUGGACGUUGGGCUCAACUAGGAGCUCAGUGUCGAAGCUAACGCGUUAAGUUCGCCGCCUGGGGAGUACGGUCGCAAGACUGAA
rnacentral:rRNA from 1 species